rnacentral:rRNA from 1 species
GAUGAACGCUGGCGGCGUGCCUAAUACAUGCAAGUCGAACGAGGUGCUUUUGUAGCAAUACGAAAGUAUCCUAGUGGCGAACGGGUGAGUAACGCGUUGGUGACCUACCCCAAAGUGUGGGAUAACAGUCCGAAAGGAUUGCUAAUACCGCAUGUGGUCAUCGGGUUUAGAAACCGAUGUCUAAAGGAGCAAUUCGCUUUGGGAGGGACCUGCGUCCCAUCAGCUAGUUGGUGAGGUAACGGCUCACCAAGGCGACGACGGGUAGGGGACCUGAGAGGGUGGCCCCCCACAAUGGAACUGAAACACGGUCCAUACACCUACGGGUGGCAGCAGUAGGGAAUAUUGCACAAUGGGCGAAAGCCUGAUGCAGCAACGCCGCGUGUGCGAUGAAGGCCUUCGGGUCGUAAAGCACUUUUCUGAGAGAUGAGAAAGGACAGUAUCUCAGGAAUAAGUCUCGGCUAACUACGUGCCAGCAGCCGCGGUAAAACGUAGGAGGCAAGCGUUAUCCGGAUUCACUGGGCGUAAAGCGCGUGCAGGCGGUUCGGUAAGUUGGGCGUGAAAUCUCCCGGCUCAACUGGGAGAGGUCGUUCAAUACUACCGGGCUUGAGAGCAGAAGAGGAAAGUGGAAUU